AUUGAACGCUGGCGGCAGGCCUAACACAUGCAAGUCGAGCGGGGUUUUCGGACCUAGCGGCGGACGGGUGAGUAAUGCGUAGGAAGCUACCCGAUAGAGGGGGAUACCAGUUGGAAACGACUGUUAAUACCGCAUAAUGUCUACGGACCAAAGUGUGGGACCUUCGGGCCACAUGCUAUCGGAUGCGCCUACGUGGGAUUAGCUAGUUGGUGAGGUAAUGGCUCACCAAGGCGACGAUCUCUAGCUGGUUUGAGAGGAUGAUCAGCCACACUGGAACUGGGACACGGUCCAGACUCCUACGGGAGGCAGCAGUGGGGAAUAUUGGACAGUGGGCGAAAGCCUGAUCCAGCCAUGCCGCGUGUGUGAAGAAGGCCUUCGGGUUGUAAAGCACUUUCAGUAGGGAGGAAGCGUUGUGUGUUAAUAGUACACAGCGUUGACGUUACCUACAGAAGAAGCACCGGCUGACUCUGUGCCAGCCGCCGCCGUAAAAC
rnacentral:rRNA from 1 species